GAUGAAGAACGUAGCGAAAUGCGAUACGUAGUGUGAAUUGCAGAAUUCAGUGAAUCAUCGAAUCUUUGAACGCACAUUGCACCUCUCGGUAUUCCGGGAGGUAUGCCUGUUCGAGCGUCAUUUGUACCCUCAAGCUCUGCUUGGUGUUGGGUGUUUGUUCCGCCUCUGUGUGUGAACUCGCCUCAAAACAAUUGGCAGCCGGCGUACUUGUUUCGGAGCGCAGCACAUUUUGCGAUCCAGAUCAACGUACAGCGGCAUCCAAGAAGCCUUAUUUAACGCUCUUGACCUCGGAUCAGGUAGGGAUACCCGCUGAACUUACGCAUAUCAAUAAGCGGAGGA
rnacentral:misc_RNA from 1 species